CCUACGGGAGGCAGCAGUGGGGAAUAUUGCGCAAUGGGCGCAACCCUGAUCCAGCAACGCCGCGUGAGGGAAGAAGUCUUUCGGUUUGUAAACUUCUUUUCUCAGGGACGAAGCAAGCGACGGUACCUUAGGAAUCAGCCACGGCUAACUACGCGCCAGCCGCCGUGGUAAUACGUAGGCGGCAAGCGUUAUCCGGAUUGACUGGGUGUAAAGGGCGUGUCGGCGGGGAAGCAAGUCAGAUGUGAAAUCCACGGGCUCAACCUGUGGCCUGCAUUUGAAACUGUGUAGCUUGAGUACUGGGGAGGCAGACGGAAUUCCUAGUGUAGCGGUGAAAUGCGUAGAUAUUAGGAGGAACACCAGUGGCGAAGGCGGUCUGCUGGACCGCAACUGACGCUGAGGCGCGAAAGCGUGGGGAGCAAACAGGAUUAGAUACCCUGGUAGUC
rnacentral:rRNA from 1 species